CCAACGUUGAUAACCAGUGGAAUUAGCCACCACUGGCUCUAUCAAAAUGGCGCAUGGGAGCCUAAUAUUUUUGAUUUGAGGUAAAUUCCCAGCCAUGGCGUUACAUACUAAAACUGCCCCAGAUAUUUUAUUUUUAAAAUGUCUGUUUGGUGUAGUGCAUUGCAUAUUCCUUGUGUCUUCUAGAGUUAUUAUGUGACAAUAACUGGAAGGAUAAACCAUGCAAUGAACAUCA